rnacentral:rRNA from 1 species
UGCCUUACACAUGCAAGUCGAACGGCAGCACGGGAGCUUGCUCCUGGUGGCGAGUGGCGAACGGGUGAGUAAUAUAUCGGAACGUGCCCUAGAGUGGGGGAUAACUAGUCGAAAGAUUAGCUAAUACCGCAUACGAUCUAAGGAUGAAAGUGGGGGAUCGCAAGACCUCAUGCUCGUGGAGCGGCCGAUAUCUGAUUAGCUAGUUGGUGAGGUAAAGGCUCACCAAGGCGACGAUCAGUAGCUGGUCUGAGAGGACGACCAGCCACACUGGAACUGAGACACGGUCCAGACUCCUACGGGAGGCAGCAGUGGGGAAUUUUGGACAAUGGGCGCAAGCCUGAUCCAGCAAUGCCGCGUGAGUGAAGAAGGCCUUCGGGUUGUAAAGCUCUUUUGUCAGGGAAGAAACGGUUCUGGUUAAUACCCGGGGCUAAUGACGGUACCUGAAGAAUAAGCACCGGCUAACUACGUGCCAGCAGCCGCGGUAAUACGUAGGGUGCAAGCGUUAAUCGGAAUUACUGGGCGUAAAGCGUGCGCAGGCGGUUGUACAAGACAGAUGUGAAAUCCCCGGGCUUAACCUGGGAAUUGCAUUUGUGACUGUACGGCUAGAGUGUGUCAGA